AUGACCACAAUUCUUUCUGCUGCUAUAUACCGCAUAAAAUUAAUUGUUGUUAUUGUUUUUAUGUGCAACUAUAAAGUUAUUGGGUGUCUGUCCACUGCUUACGUUUUUUAGAGGUCUGCGUUUUUGGAAUCAAGUGUAGACUCUUGUAAGAAAUAGCGAAACUCACAAUACGCUUUUAGCAAUAGUCCAAUGUGUAUCUUUUGCAAAGUCUCUAAUUUCAUGAUCAGCAACACCUUUAGGUCAUUCUUGCUGGCUCUCAAGGAUAAUUGUUUUUUAGGGAUUGGACAGUCCUUUAAAAUGGAAAGGCAUGCUUUUGAACAGUUUUCCACAUCUACCCCAUGUUCCAAGAAAUGUUGGAGGAAACUGCAUUAAUCGUUCAGGAAAGGAGAUCUUAAUAUUUUUUUUCUCCUUCAACAGGUCUCAUAGUUUGUUUUCCCUUUUCCUGGAAAAAAUUCUUAACCAAUGAAGGAUUAUGUAUAGACAAUCUUUAUUUUAGACACUGGAAUAAAGUGAGGUUGGGCAUUCUUCUAGGUAUACCUAAUACAGUCUGUACUUCCAACUUUUAAAUUAGAUUAUUCACCUGUUUUAUGCUCAUCACAACCAGUUCUGGCUAAAAAUGUUUGCAUGAAAUUUUGUAUUGUGAUCUCUUAUUAUCUUUCUUACAAGUUCCUGAGUCAAAACUAUAACAAUAUUCUAGAAGGUUAUUGGUUAUGUAAUAAUAAUGAUAAUAAUAAUAGUAAUGAUAAUAAUUGUUAUUCAACCAAGUGACCUCUUCAGCAUAAAAUGCUGAUAUCAAUAAGGACCCCGCACAUAAAAAAAAAGAGGAAAAGAGCCUAAGAAGCCUAAAAAACAGCUACUAACUUUAAAAUAGGAGUUUUGAAAAUCAUGACUGAUUUAAGUUCCUUCAUUUCAUUAGGGAUUUCGCUAAAAAGUUUUGAUCCCUUUAAUGAAGACUUCCUUGCAGUCUCAGUUCUCACUUUGGGAAGCAUUAAGUUCUUCCCACUUACCCUCGUAUCGUGGAUAGUUCUAAAAACCUUAAAACAAUCUUUAAAAUACAUUGGAGGGGAUCCCUUUAAGCAUUUGAAAGUUAAAUUAAUAGUGUGCAUGUCACGCCUCAUAGACAAGGGAAACCAUUUUAAAUUCUUGGCAUCUGAAUCUUUGAUCUUCAAGAGUCUCAUAUGAUCACUUAUAGGAAGUAAAAAUUGCUGCUUUAAGCAUUGGGGAAUUACAUAAAAUGGUCAAUGAAAUUUAAACUUGAUAGUGAAAAUGUAAAUAUUUCAUAAAAAUGCCCUCUUUUUUCUAAGUGAAAGGAUGGGUCAUAUGUAAUGGGGAGCGGUCUAUUACAUCCCUUGUAAUUGUCGUGGGGCAAGCUAUAUGGGAGAAACUAAACGGUCCUUUAAAACACAGAGCGACGAGCAUCGCGCGCGGACCAAGUUCCACCCCUGCCGAGGUUUCUCGCCAAAUACACACCGCAAUGGUAGACCAUGGAGUCAACAUCGAGUCCUCUAAGAUGUUAACGAUUGCGCCGAAGUGGUUCGAAAGGGGUGUGAAAAAAGCGAUAAACAUCAAAUUUAACCGCCCCACCCUGAAUCGUGACGGGGGAAGUUACAACCUUCCAGCAGUAUAGAGCAAUCUGCUGAAGGGACGAACUAGAAUUAGAGGGGUUGGGAUCCUGGCACGAACUCACACAUCCGGUAACCUCGCCACUUUAGGCGAGGUUACUGAGUUAUUAAGGCUAGAGGUCUAGGCGAAAGUUUUCACUUUUUAGGCAAUCUUUUCCGGUGUACAAAAGUUUACAUAUUGUUUAUCUUAGAACGUGUUGCAAUUAUAGAUCGUAGUUAUAACUCGUCUCACAGGGGAUAAAAGUUUCAAUAAAAGGCAGUGGCAGAAGCGUUAUGUGUCUAUCACUUCAAUUUUCAUUUUGUUUCAAUUCGUGUGUAGAGGCAAAAUUCCGAAGGUGGACUUUCUCACGGAUUCGAAUGGCAAAGUGAUAACAGGAAAUAAUUUUGGUUUAAGCGUAUUCACUGGGACAGCUUUUCUGCCCGAACCUUUGCGACCAGGGCCACUAUGGCAGCUUGAUAAUAAGACGCCUUUCCCGGAAGAACUUGGAUUAUAUUUCAAUAAACCUUCUCACGGUAUAAUUGCGCCAACCCAACCAGUCACUCCUUCUACAGUACAAAACAUGCUGAGGUGUCUUCACUGGAGGAAAAUACAAUCUCGGCAAUCCGGCGCUCUUCAAUGAUAUGCACAUACCAGGCCGAACUUUGUAUUGCAAUGAAGAUUGAAUAUUGGCUUGACUAAACUGUUUGACAUGUCUUGCGUCAACGUCUUUAUUCACCCACUGAAGGAAAAAGUUGGGCAUGUUGUAAUUUUCUUAAAUCUAAAUAAGAAAUUGUUUAAAAACACCCUCUUAUUUUAAGUACUGCACUCUCUCUCUUGAUCGAUCUUGAGUUCAUAUAUGAAUGUAGCUGGCCGAUAAAUGCACGAUUCCGAACGCAAGAACAAGUUGUUCUCUAAUCGAUUAGUGAUGAUAAUAGGACUGCUUAGGGUCCGAUUCGGUCUGUAAUCAUACGAGUGAUUAACAAAUCGGACGACCGUGCAGCGGGAGUCCCACUUAUUAAUUACGGGUAUGAUUAUUAGAACGGCGAAUUGGGCGGCACGAAGUGUUAUAAAAAUUCACGUUUUGUAAUUGACCGGUGAAUAUGACGACUUUGCUUAAAUAUGUAUAUUGUAUCUAUGUAUAUGAUAUCUAUGUGAAUUGUACUCGUAUUUAGAUUGUUCUUAUUCAUGCUCGAUCGAAGGACAUACGCAUAAGUGACGUCACCUUUAACAACAAUUUGCUUUUUUGUCAUAUAAGAUAACUAUAUUCUAUCUUACCGUGGGUCUUUACCAUAAUGGGUCACAGAAAACGUCAAAGUUCGGUGAACACAUCAUUGACCAUCACUCUUAACUUCGCCUUGUGUGCAACUUUUUUCGAUAAGACAGCAUUUCUCAUCAGGUUUAAAGGUAGCUCUUAGGUUGGGAGCUAUUUUCGCGAGCUAAUUGAAGUUUUUUUAAAAAAAAAGAACUACAAUGAAAAUAGUUCUUGACGUUUUUAUGAUUUUCUAAGCAGCUUUUGAUAAUUCAGUCGUACCUGAUUGUAUGACUUAUCUCUGUAGUACUUUUAAAUUACCAACAUUAAAAGUUCUGAAAGAUAAUUUUUUGGUACGACGAGCACAGUUGAGUCACUUGUUUAACUCUUAUCUUGCCUUUUCCAUCGUCCCAUGACACUCAUUCCUUAAAACAACCAUCGCUGAUAGUCUUUUGUAUAUCCACAUAGAAGUCUGCGCUAUAUAAAUGUAAAUAUGUAAUAAUAUGUAGGGUGUUAUUUUCCUUUCAUAGUUCGGGAUUACCAAUAAACUCACUCAAGCUAAGACGGCA